UACAGUUAGGUGAAGAACUAAAGGGGCGUCAGGACAAUCACUGCCAGCGUCUCCUGAAUGUAAAAUUCCCUAACUCCAAGAAUGCCGGGACGCGGCCCACGUGCCAGCGCCCAGUGCCUGCCGCACUGAGCUCUGGGCUUCCAUUCAUUCCUCCGGUCCCAUGAACUGGAUUGUCUUGUGUCCCUGUUUCAGAGGAGGAAAGAGGCUGAGAGAGAUGAGGUAACGGCCAAGGCCUCCCGGCCAGGAGGCAGCAAAACUAGGUCCAACCCAGGGGUGCCAGGCACUGAAGCCCGGGUCAUUCUCUCGCCCUGCCUGGGAGGCCUCAAAGGCGGGCCUGUCCUUCCCUCUCGUGAACGAGAGUCCAGCGGACCAGCAGGUGUCCCUGGGGAGCCGCGGAGAGAUUACCGCUGCCAUGGCAACCGGUGGAGGCGUAGCUCGCCCACGUGCGCAGUGACGUCAUCCGCUUCCUACUCUUCGGAAUUAGCUCAGAGCUCCGGGCGGCCCUGCCCCCUCCUGCCGCCAGGAGCUCACCUGGAGGGGCCAAGCCGGCCCCAGGCCAAGGAGUUCACUAGGUCUGUGCCCAACCCUGCACCUUUGCAGGGAUACGCCCAUCUGCAGUCCUCUCAGCCUCGGCGGCCGCCUCUGCAAACAGGAGUGGCCCAUAUCCUGGAGGAAUCAGGAUGACCACGGGACCUCAAGUCCCUCCUGUGCCCGGUCCCAAGAUUCCCGUGGCAGCUGGGGCCGCGAGGCCGCCUUAGGGAAGACACUGACGCAUGCUCUCGAGCAGGACAAGCCUGCCCUCGCCCACCCAUGUUCUCAGCCCUCAGAAUGGGUGCCCCUGCACGCCCACGACCCCUCGGCGCUCUGAGCCUUGAGACGCCCACCGGGCACUAAUGACGCUGGAAGUCCCUCUCUUCCGAAAGGCGCGGUCUCCCACGACCCGCAGGCCAGGACGAGAGGCGCGCUUCCGCGGGCCGGCGCCUACCUUGAUGGUGGUGAACUCCUUCCUCCAGGGCAGCAGGUACAGGUGCACAGCGGCCAGUUCCAGCAGCUCGAAGGCGCGGGCCAGGCCGCGCAGCGCGGGCGCCAGGUCGGCGCGGCCCCACAGCCCGUCGGUGAGCAGCGCCAGCGCGUCGUCCUGCAGCGCCCCGUGCAGGUCGAAGUCUUCCACCAGGAUCUGCCAGAGCACCGCGCGCAGCGAGGGGUCCCCGCACACGCCCGCGCGGCCCCUUCGCAGCUCGCGCUCCAAGCACAGGCGGUAGUCCUCGGACAGCGAGCUGCUGCCCAUCCUGCGGCGGGCGGGGGGUCAGGGACCUCAGGCCGCGCUCCCACUCUCUCCGAGCCCCCGCCUAACGUCCCCAGAACCCCCCGAGCCUGGAGACCCCACCCCCACCGGCUGAACGCCCCGGGUAUCCACUGCACCCCCUACCCUGGAGUCCCCGGCGCCAUCUGCCCACCCAGCCGGCGAUCUGGCCCUCUCCAGCUGAGCGCCCCCACACCCCCAGCCCCUCCGCAGCUGGGGGAUAUCGGCCUUCCAGGGGCGCCCCGGUUACCGACCGCACCCUUCCCUAGAGACGCGCUUCCGCCCGCUGAGCCCUCUCCCGACCAGAGUCCCCUCGCUCGGCAGAUGGAGCUGCGGAUCUCGUGGGAGAUGGCGCUACCUGUCCGUCCCCAGGGGUCCCCGGCAGCUACCGUUCAGUUCGGGCCUCCGCGUGCGCCGUGCGCUUCCGCCGGGAAUCGGCUCCGUCCGGGGCCCGCGGCCUUGACGCCGGGGGCGGGGCUUGGCUCAGGCCCCGCCUCCCGCUAAUUUAGGAGGGGCGGGGCCUCCGAGCCUGGGCAGGGCCUGGUGAAAGCCGGAAGAAGGCGGUGUUCCGCCGAGCCGAGCACCUGCGCGAGGCGCCCCGAGAGCCUCCUGUCACCGCGUCGCCCGUCGCCCCACGGGACCCGUGUCUUUCAGGACGCCUCAGAGCCGAGGGCUGCGAGCUCAGGGGAGGUGCUCAGUGAAGGUUGUGCCUGGGCCGCUCCUCCCUUCGAGACCGGGCAGCCUCAGGCGUCCCGGGGCGGGGAAGCAGGUGCGCGGGCUCGUCCCCCUCCGGGGCGGGGCCACCUGCCUUGCCUGCGGGGACUGGCUGGAUCCUGGAAAGAGCCGCUCCUGCGGGGCGGGGCCACCUGCAGUACCUGCGGGGAUUGGCCGGGCCCGGGGGCGGGCUUCUCCUGCGGGGUGGGGCUAUCCACUUGUGGGCGGUGCCCGUCGCGGAAGGUGGGCGCAAGGACAACCCUUUUUCAGCCUAGUCUCAGGAUUUCUAAAAGGAAGCCACUAUCAUCCACUCCUGUCUUAUGGGGGAGCCACAGGCUCAGAGAGGGCAAAAUUGCACAGCAAGCAGCAGCGCCUGAACACACCUGCCUGAUCCCGCACCAGGGAGACAGCUAAGCCAGCACGCCCCUGGCCCUCAUGCCAGGCCAGCAGGUGCUCCCAUGCCAAGAUUUGUUCAAGACACAGCUCAUCCCUACCAUUCUGUUAAGUGGACUUUAAAAUCCCACCUUCUAGACACCACCGCUGAGGCCUGAGCAGCGCCCCUACCCAAACCCCAAGGCACCAUGGCCAGCUGGGGUUCACGUCGAGGGCUGAGGCUGGGUGGAUGGCUGCAUGGGGGCAUGUGACCGUCGGAGGACUGAUCCCUGGGCUGCACGGACCUGGAGAAGAUGCCCAGAGUGGGAGUUGGCCAGGAGUCCCGGAGUGUUCACUGCCUACUGCCAAGGGGCUGGAGGGAAGAGAAACUGGACUGCUGCCUCCACUGCUGGCUGGCUUUUGGCCCUCCCUUUCCUGAUGCUUCCCAGGAGCUGCCCCAGUGAAGGGCAGAGCAGGACCCGGCCAGACGCUCAUGGCCAAGCCUGCACCCACUGGAGCCUGCGGCUUCCCAUCUCAGAGCCUGGGACGCCUGCACAGGAGAGCAGGGCUGGGUUCCUCCUGGAGCUGCUUCAGACCCAUCCUGUUGGGGCAGAGGUGCCAACCCCAAGCUCCAGGGUUAGAUGUGGGACGAGGAAGGGGCAAGAGCUGGAGAGCACACAGCAUAGACCAGCUCCCCCGCGACUUCGUGCUGUGUGCAGAGCAGUGUGGGGCUCCAGGGCGGUCCUCGGUAGGCCCCGUGGCUCUAGGUGCAGGAGGUACGGCCCUGGGAGGCAAGGCCAGGCCCUGCCAGAGCCCUGGGUCUGGCUCUACUGCUUGGCCAGGCCUCCCCGGGGCAGCAGCUCCACAUAGCUCAGAGCACUCUGCAGUGAUGUCAGGCAGUAACCCUCUUCUCCGAUCAGGUACCUGUACGGAUGGCAGCAGGCAUCACCCGGCCUCUAGAAGGCAAUGUCUGCCUUCCCAGUUCAGGGCAUGGGUGGUGCGGGUGUGCAGGUGGGGCUGUCAGGGUGGCUGGGCUGGAGGAGGCCCUUUCCACCCACUCUGUGCUUGUCCUUGGACCGCAGAGCCAGGGAUGGCCCUCGAUCCCCUGACGGUCCCCUCCCCAGGCAGACACUGCUCAAGGGGCAGCCCCCAGCUCCUGCUGUGGGAGAGGCUGAGCUAAGCGAAGGGCCGUGGAGCAUGAGGCAGCAGACACUCUACACAGGGGCACCCGUGGGGGCUGCCUGAAGGCAACAUGGCUGUGACGAAGUCACUGCCCUCACCAGCUGCCACUGACAACCACCCUUCAGGCUGAGGGACAAGGUCCCCACUCAUCCCACAGAGGCCCCCACCCUUCCCCCACCGGGUUCUACCCCUCGUGGAUGAACUCCUCCAGGGCUGCGCACUCCGACACCAGCUGAGGGAGGCCGCUCCUCAGCACCACGAAGGAGAGGAUGGGCAGCAGGUCGUCAGCACCACUGUGGGAAGGGCACGGUGGCCGUGACCGUGGGCCGGGCCUCUCGCUCCACAAACCCAGCGGCUGUGCAGCCGUCCCAGCCGCAGUCUCUGUGCCUCUUGGCCAGCGGUCCAGGAAGCCACCUGGGAGUGGCAAGGCUGUGUCUAGAUGGGAGCUUCCGCUCUGCUGAGCAAGGGCUGGGCCCACACUCAGUGCCUUCCUGCUGCUACAGUCCAGCCUGUGGCACGAGGCUGAGGGUUGGGAAGACAGCCCCUCCAAUGCCCCGUGCUUUUCCAGGGCCCUCCUCCCUGGCCACACUUCGGCCUCCUGGGACUCACAUGGCUGCUGCAGCGAUGGGCUGGGGUCCGGCCUGGGGUGUGGCCUCCAAGGUGGGGCAGUAGUCUUCUGCGCAGACACAGAUGACCCGCAGGGUCCGAACUGCGCCACAGACAUGUGGCUUCAGGGGCAGUUGGGGAUGCCACAGGGGGACCCAACAGGGAUGGGAAAGCGAACCCAGGCCGCUGCCCCACCCGGCAGCCUGAGCCCCCCUCACACCCUGCCCACCUGCCCACCCACCCAGCCCCCCACUUCCUGAUGUGCAGGGCUGGGAAGAGCUGCUGUGACGCGGAGGAUACUGCUCUAACUCCACUUUAGUCCUGGUCCCACCCACCCUGCAUGUGACAAGCUCAGUCGUGAAGACACAGGCUCCAGGUCACCCACCGGGAUGGGAGCCUGCCUCUCAGACCUGCUAACCUAUGCACUCCAGCUUCUUUUGGGGGCAGCUCUCCAGGAUCAGCAGUCCAAGCUCCUGGGCCGCAGCACAGUAGGGAAGCUUGAGAUGGACCAACAAGCAGGGUGAAGAGCCGCAGCCCCUCCCGCAGUGAGGGCUGAUGGGGGCGCAGGACGUGGAGGCCUGGCCUCACCGAUGGCGUUGUGGAUGUCCUCCACCGCACUCUUCAGUUGCUGCAGCUGCGGCUCGGGCUGCCCCCCAUGGCCCCGGCCCCGGCCCUGUCGCUCAGACGUCCCCAGGAACUGCUCCAGGUCCUCAAACGAGCUGUCCUUGUCCGGCAGGCCAGACACGACAUCCCCCACAGGUGAGGGAGGCCCCGUGGGGCGGGGGUGGAGUGAGGGCAUGGGGGGGCUGUCCUGGGGCUGCGGGGCCGUGCUGGGCUCGCACGGGGACAGCAUGCAGUGGAGGCUCUGCGAGGGCCGCAGCCGCCGGCUUCCAGGGUUGGGGGUCGGGGGGCAGCAGCCCGAGGCUGGUGCGGCCGCCCUGCUCACCGCGGGAUACAGGGUGCUGUACACUGCACACUGCAGCCGCCUCAGGAGCUGCACAAUCGGGUGGUCAGGGAGGCUGUGGGAGAGGAGGGCGUGAGAACGCGGCCAGCCUCGGCGUCCCGCCCCUGUGCCGCCCUCCUGGGGGCCCCCACCAGUCUACAGAGGAGCCGCGCUACGCCUGGUUUAGAGAAGUGACUCGCGUCACCUCCUGACAGUGAAUGGCCUGCAAAGGUCGUAGAAGCCGAGGAAACGCCCUCAGCGUGAAGGGAGCUGUGGUGUCCAGGUGGCUGGGGCACAGGGUCCUUGGGGCAGCGUGGCAGCCUCAUCCUGUCAGUCCAGCCCCUCCCCGACACCCAACCCACACAGGGGCUCAGUGGUGCCUGAGGCCCAGCUACCUGAGCAGAUGUGACAGCAGGCUGGUCACCAGCGACAGGUCCCCUGGGCUCCUCUUGAGCUUGGCCUUCCAGUGCUUUGGCCAGUCCUAUGGAACAGGGGGCCUUGGAGGGAAGCACCUGGGUCCCCACGACCAGACGCGCCCCAUCUGCCACCAGUGCUUGCCCCAAGAGACUCUGGGAGACCGUCCUGGGGUGCAGGAGACCCAGCACCAGCAGGCUGCACAACCCACCCCCACCAGAGGGAGACCUUAUUUGAAGCCUGGUCCUGCCCCCUUGUCGGGUCCCUCCCACGAGGCCCGGGCCCCGCCUCAAUGGGACAAAUCCUGGGCCCUGUCGGCCUGAGGGGGACGCACGUGGUCCUGCUCGUACUCCAGGAUGGCUGCGUAAAGUGCCCGCUGCUCCCGCUCCUCCGGGGUCAGGGCGACCUGGCUGCAAAACCUCCUGGGGAAGAAGGCGCUCGCAAAAGCUUGUGCAACCCAAGGGCUGGUGGAUCCCGGGGCCGGGGUUGGGCUGGGCUGUCUCCGCAGUGGGGGACUGGGCAGGAGUCGCACCUGUUGGCAGCCUCCUGGAGCCGCAACCGGCGCUCCUCCAUCUUCCUCUGGAGCUGGGUGCAGAGUCAAGGGGACGCGCGUCGGAUCUGAGGGGGCUCUCGGCCCCCCACCCCCGCCCCACACCUGCAACCACACCCCAAGCAGCCGGGACGUCCCAGGGACCCCCUCAGUGAGAGGUAGUCCCCAGGGCAGGCUUCUGGGGCAGAAGGCAGCCUGCGCUGAAGCCAGGAGGGCAGAGCCAGAGGGCUGGGGGAAUAGGGGUGGGGAACUUCCCCAGAGGCCAUCCCUCUGCAAAGCGGGAAGCCCCUCAGCCCUGUACCCCAACCCUGGAACCUCUGCUACCCUUGCUACCCUAUUCUCUGGCUUUGGCUCAUGGCCACACUGAGUUCUCCCCAGAGACCACUAGGGUGGUCAGAAAGGGUGCUGUCUCCUCCCGUGCUUUGGCGAUCACCAGGUUCUCCAUCAUCUGCCGCUGUAGAGAGAGGGUCUGGGAGAGGAAGGAGGGAGUAAGACCAGCUCCCUUGCACCGCCAGGCUCUCCCUGGGCCCCACUCACCAGGGAUGUCUUCUGCAUAGCCUGGCUGGGGUCUAGCCGGGCCAUCCGGGCCUCAUAUGCAGCCUUCAGCUUCUGAUUCUGCAGGGAGGCUUCCUCCAAGGGCGUCAGCUCUCUGGAAAUGUGAUGAGCUGCUGUCUAGACUCCAGGAAGCCCAGUGGUGUUCUGGCUACAAAAGGAGCUUCUCUCAUCCUCCCUGUUGGCUCUGAAGCCAGGAGGCUGGAGUGCAAUGGCGCAAUCCCGG